rnacentral:tRNA from 1 species
AGCUUUAUAGUCAAUAAUGAUAUUAGACUGCAAUUCUAAAGGAGUAAAGUAUUUACUAAGGCUU